AGCGAAACGGGAAAAGCCCAAACCAACAAGCUUGCUUGUUGGGGUUGUAGGACUCCAAUAUGGUCGUUCUUUCAGAUAGUCGAAUGACUUGGAAAAGUCAGUCAAAGAGGGUAAAAACCCCGUAGACAAAAUGUGGAAGACACCUAGGAGGAUCCUGAGUACGGCGGAACACGAGAAAUUCCGUCGGAAUCCGGGAGGACCAUCUCCCAAGGCUAAAUACUCCCUAGUGACCGAUAGUGAACCAGUACCGUGAGG
rnacentral:rRNA from 1 species